GGAAGGAUCAUUAACGAGUUAGGGUCGUUCUGGCCCGAACUUCCAACCCCUUGUUUAUCACACCAUGUUGCUUUGGUAGGCCCGCUCUCCUUGGGGGGCCGCCGGAGGUUAUCUUACCUCUGGCCCGUGCCUGCCAGUAGCCUUAUUAAAUUCUUUUUUAACUGUGUUGUCUGAGUGGUAUUUCAAUCAUUUAAAACUUUCAACAACGGAUCUCUUGGUUCUGGCAUCGAUGAAGAACGCAGCGAAAUGCGAUAAGUAAUGCGAAUUGCAGAAUUCAGUGAGUCAUCGAAUCUUUGAACGCAUAUUGCGCCCUUUGGUAUUCCGAAGGGCAUGCCUGUUCGAGCGUCAUUAUCAACCAUCAAGCUUGGCUUGUAGUUGGACCUAUUGGCUGGGGGAUGCCCCGACCGGUCCGAAAGAUAAUGAACGGGGGUACUCAGUGGCCUUGGAUGCAACGAGCUUUCUAAGCACGCAUCGAACGGUCGUUAGGCCCCGUCUUCUCCAUAUAAUUCUCUACGGUUGACCUCGGAUCAGGUAGGAAUACCCGCUGAACUUAAGCAUAUCAAUAAGCGGAGGAAAAGAAACCAACAGGGAUUACCCUAGUAACGGCGAGUGAAGCGGUAACAGCUCAAAUUUGAAAUCUGGCCUUUGGGGGUCCGAGUUGUAAUUUGUAGAGGAAGUUUCGGGCAAGGCUACGGUUUAAGUUUCUUGGAACAGAAUGUCAUAGAGGGUGAGAAUCCCGUCUAGAACCGAUGGCCGCGUCCAUGUGAAACCCCUUCGACGAGUCGAGUUGUUUGGGAAUGCAGCUCAAAAUGGGUGGUAAAUUUCAUCUAAAGCUAAAUAUUGGCCAGAGACCGAUAGCGCACAAGUAGAGUGAUCGAAAGAUGAAAAGCACUUUGAAAAGAGAGUUAAACAGUAUGUGAAAUUGUUGAAAGGGAAGCGCUUGCAACUAGACUUGUGUAUCGUGGUUCCCCCGGUCUUCUGAUCGGGUUACUCCAUGAUAUCCAGGCCAGCAUCGGUUCGGGUGGUUGGUUAAAGGGCCUGGGAAUGUAUCUACCUUCGGGUCGACUUAUAGCCCAGGGCGUAAUGCAGCCUACCUGGACCGAGGAACGCGCAUCUGCUCGGAUGCUGGCGUAAUGGUUGUAAGCGGCCCGUCUUGAAACACGGACCAAGGAGUCUAACAUCUAUGCGAGUGUUAGGGUGUCAAACCCUUGCGCGUAAUGAAAGUGAACGGAGGUAAGAGCCGUCAAGGGCGCAUUAUCGACCGAUCCUGAUGUCUUCGGAAGGAUUUGAGUAAGAGCAUAGCUGUUGGGACCCGAAAGAUGGUGAACUAUGCCUGAAUAGGGUGAAGCCAGAGGAAACUCUGGUGGAGGCUCGCAGCGGUUCUGACGUGCAAAUCGAUCGUCAAAUUUGGGUAUAGGGGUAAGUUUUUAACUUUUCAUUUUUAUGGAAAAUCAUUUCACAUCAGUACAUGACUAAGGUCGAGCGAAGAUCACUAGACCUUUUUUUGGUUUUUGUGUGGGAAAAUUAUAUACUAAUUCUUUUAUUAGGCGAAAGACUAAUCGAACCAUCUGGUAGCUGGUUCCUGU
rnacentral:misc_RNA from 1 species